AUAAGCACCGGCUAACUACGUGCCACAGCCGCGGUAAUACGUAGGGUGCGAGCGUUAAUCGGAAUUACUGGGCGUAAAGCGUGCGCAGGCGGUUCGUCAAGUCUGAUGUGAAGCCCCGGGCUCAACCUGGGAAUGGCAUUGGAAACUAGCGGGCUUGAGUGUGGCAGAGGGGGGUGGAAUUCCACGUGUAGCAGUGAAAUGCGUAGAGAUGUGGAGGAACACCGAUGGCGAAGGCAGCCCCCUGGGCUAACACUGACGCUCAUGCACGAAAGCGUGGGGAGCAAACAUUAGAUUGGUAGUCCACGCCCUAAACGAUGGCAACUGGGUGUUGGGGAAGCGAUUUCUCAGUACCGUAGCUAACGCGUGAAGUUGCCCGCCUGGGGAGUACGGCCGCAAGGUUAAAACUCAAAGGAAUUGACGGGGACCCGCACAAGCGGUGGAUGAUGUGGAUUAAGAUGCAACGCGAACAACCUUACCUAUUGACAUGUCCGNAAGCUCGCUGAGAGGUGAGUGUGCC
rnacentral:rRNA from 1 species